rnacentral:rRNA from 1 species
UACAGAGGGGGCAAGCGUUGUUCGGAAUUACUGGGCGUAAAGGGCGCGUAGGCGGCCUGCUAAGUCGAACGUGAAAUCCCCGGGCUCAACCCGGGAACUGCGUCCGAUACUGGCAGGCUUGAAUCCGGGAGAGGGAUGCGGAAUUCCAGGUGUAGCGGUGAAAUGCGUAGAUAUCUGGAGGAACACCGGUGGCGAAGGCGGCAUCCUGGACCGAGAUUGACGCUGAGGCGCGAAAGCCAGGGGAGCAAACGGG